rnacentral:rRNA from 1 species
AAUCCUGGUCGGACAUCAGGAGGUUAGUGCAAUGGCAUAAGCCAGCUUGACUGCGAGCGUGACGGCGCGAGCAGGUGCGAAAGCAGGUCAUAGUGAUCCGGUGGUUCUGAAUGGAAGGGCCAUCGCUCAACGGAUAAAAGGUACUCCGGGGAUAACAGGCUGAUACCGCCCAAGAGUUCAUAUCGACGGCGGUGUUUGGCACCUCGAUGUCGGCUCAUCACAUCCUGGGGCUGAAGUAGGUCCCAAGGGUAUGGCUGUUCGCCAUUUAAAGUGGUACGCGAGCUGGGUUUAGAACGUCGUGAGACAGUUCGGUCCCUAUCUGCCGUGGGCGCUGGAGAACUGAGGGGGGCUGCUCCUAGUACGAGAGGACCGGAGUGGACGCAUCACUGGUGUUCGGGUUGUCAUGCCAAUGGCACUGCCCGGUAGCUAAAUGCGGAAGAGAUAAGUGCUGAAAGCAUCUAAGCACGAAACUUGCCCCGAGAUGAGUUCUCCCUGACCCUUUAAGGGUCCUGAAGGAACGUUGAAGACGACGACG